GAAAUCGCGGCCGGCAAUGAUGAAGAUCCGGGGAAAGGCUGAUAAGGCGCUCCUGCGAACCGGGGGAGGGGGAUGUGAACGCUUCCCCACCUCGGGAAUUACAGGAAAACAAUCCGAAGCAGGCUGAUCCCAUUUAUCCGGCAGCUGGGCACCGGCCAGAACCUAUGGACAGCGGCCUCUCUGCCAUCUGCUCUUCGGGCACGUACAAGGAGGUUUAAUUACAACCAAGUGCCCUCCGAGGGACAGGGCAUCCCUGCCAAAGCUGAGAGGGAACGGUUUAACAGAGCUGGAAAUUAAGCAAAGCCAAUUUUUUUUUUUUUUAAUUACAAGCCGAUUAAACUUUUGAACUGA